rnacentral:rRNA from 1 species
GAAUGUUGGACAAUGGGGGAAACCCUGAUCCCGCCAUCCCGCGUGUUUGAUGAAAGCCUUCGGGUGGUAAAGUACUUUUGGCAGAGAAGAAAAGGUAUUUCCUAAUACGAGAUUUUGCUGGCGGUAUCUGCAGAGUAAGCACCGGCUAACUUGGUCCCAGGAGCCGCGGUAAUACGAAGGGUGCAAGCGUUAAUCGGAAUUACUGGGCGUAAAGCGCGCGUAGGUGGUUCGUUAAGUUGGAAGUGAAAGCCCCGGACUCAACCUGGGAACUGCUUUCAAAACUGGCAAGCUAGAGUAUGGCAGAGGGUGGUGGAAUUUCCUGUGUAGCGGUGAAAUGCGUAGAUAUGUGGAGGAAUACCGAUGGCGAAGGCAGCCCCCUGGGAUAAUACUGACGCUCAGACACGAAAGCGUGGGGAGCAAACAGG